UACGUAGGGGACAAGCGUUGUCCGGAUUUACUGGGCGUAAAGGGCACGCAGGCGGUUUUAAGUCAGAUGUGAAAGGUACCGGCUCAACCGGUGACAUGCAUUUGAAACUGAAAGACUUGAGUAUUGGAGAGGCAAGUGGAAUUCCUAGUGUAGCGGUGAAAUGCGUAGAUAUUAGGAGGAACACCGGUGGCGAAGGCGGCUUGCUGGACAAAUACUGACGCUGAGGUGCGAAAGCGUGGGGAGCAAACAGG
rnacentral:rRNA from 1 species